AAGAGUGACUUAUCAACCAUGAGCUAGCUAGUAAAUUCACAUUUAACUUUUAUCAAAUAGUUAGAGCAGCAGAUGAGCAAACUCUCAGAAGCACUUAAUCAGAGGAAGAGAGGUAUAUUUCCAAGUUACACAGUCCAAAAACCUUGAAAUAAUGGAUGUUACAUAGCAAUUAGCACUUAGAAUGGUAAAGUUUUACCUAGCCCUUCU
rnacentral:lncRNA from 1 species